GUAGGUGAACCUGCGGAAGGAUCAUUAACACUGAAAUCAUUGGAGGAUAACUUUUUCAAGUUGUCCUCCACAUGUCUACCCACUCUUGGACGCACUCUGAGACUGCGAAAAUCAGUCGCUUUUUUUCUCCCCAUUUUUUAAACCCAACCCCACACCAAAAUACACAUAACCAAUGCCAAUGACUGAUAUCACCAGUUUGUUAUAAAUUGUAAAACAACUCUUAACAACGGAUAUCUUGGCUCUC
rnacentral:misc_RNA from 1 species